GAUGAACGCUAGCGGCAGGCCCAACACAUGCAAGUCGAGGGGCAGCACAGAAACAGCAAUGUUUUGGUGGCGACCGGCGGACGGGUGCGUAACGCGUAUGCGACCUACCUUUAACAGGGGGAUAACGGAGAGAAAUUUCCACUAAUACCCCAUAACAUCGAUCAAGGCAUCUUGAUUGGUUGAAAACUCCGGUGGUUAAAGAUGGGCAUGCGUUGUAUUAGGUAGUUGGUGAGGUAAUGGCUCACCAAGCCUACGAUACAUAGGGGGACUGAGAGGUUAGCCCCCCACACUGGUACUGAGACACGGACCAGACUCCUACGGGAGGCAGCAGUGAGGAAUAUUGGUCAAUGGGGGCAACCCUGAACCAGCCAUGCCGCGUGCAGGAAGACGGCUCUAUGAGUUGUAAACUGCUUUUAAACAGGGAUAAAGCGCAGUAUGUAUACUGUGUUGAAGGUACUGUAAGAAUAAGGAUCGGCUAACUCCGUGCCAGCCGCCGCGGUAA
rnacentral:rRNA from 1 species